GCUUAAUGUAUUUAGUAAGCACUUCUUGACAAGAAAUCUUCAAUCAAAACCAAUUAUGCAGAGAAGGAAUCACAAUUUUAACUCUCACUGUUUGUGGAAAUGCCAGCAGAAAUGAGUCAAAUGUGUAUAAAGAGUUGUAGUUCAUUGCCACAGGGGUGUUUUCUCUUCUGUUAUUAUCAAUGACCAAAUAAAGGGUGGACGAAGUUAUGGAUGUUUCGACUUUCAACCAGUGAUGAAUUGGAUGUACCCACCUUCGGAGAUAAACCGGUGAUGGAAAUUGCAAAGCAGCAUGGAGGUUAUCAACUACAGGUGUCCCUUUUCAGCUUUUGGGUGUUGGUAAGUUCCCCAAUGCACAAUUUCUUUGAGUUCUUUUUCCCUUUUCCUCCAUACGUUUAUAAGUUCCAUGUAUGGUGCAGAAAUCUCUUCCUAUCAGUAAAGCAUUUAGUCUGAACUUGAGUUUUCAAGGCAGCUGUUAGCAUAUAUAGAUACUGACAGAGCAAGCUGAAGUCUCUACAUGAUAUGAUCACUUGAAUUACUGGGUGAAUAUCAAAGUUUUCGUUGGGUGUGGCACAUCAACUGAACUGUUGGGGUGGUCUCAGUCGCAUAAUCCAUCACUAGGAAAUUUGUUGGUUGUCAUUGUAGGAAUUAUUCUGGGAAUGUUCUUGGAAAUCUUUAAUUUCCCUCCUUACAAAGGAUUUUCAUGAAAGAUAAUGCCCAGUUUUAGAGUUCAAACUUCAUGAAUAGGGUAAAGAACAAAAGCUCAAGUGAUGCACACAGGGAGAAACUGAAAAUGCUAGAAAUGCUGUUGGAGCCAAAACAAACAUGAGCAAGAGAUCAAGCUUUGGUAAUACUUCUGUUGAUGACGCGGUCUGCACUACAGGUGAAACAGGGUGCAACAGCGAUGAAAUUCACAGCCUAUGAAACAGGGUGCAACUCAAUUAACAUGACUUGAGUUGAUAAAUUCACAUAUCUCCAGACUUACAACAACAAUUUGCGCACCUUAUAUGAUCAAGCAAACUUAACAGGCAGCUUAGCAUUGGCUCACAGCUCAGACAAUGGACUAAUGUUCACCCAAACCAAAAGACUAUACUCCCGGAGCGU